CCUACGGGAGGCAGCAGUCGGGAAUUUUGGGCAAUGGGCGAAAGCCUGACCCAGCAACGCCGCGUGAAGGAUGAAAUCCCUCGGGAUGUAAACUUCGCAGAAAAGAGAGCGGUAUCAUUUGUAAGCUCCGGCUAACUCCGUGCCAGCAGCCGCGGUAAUACGGGGGGAGCAAGCGUUGUUCGGAUUUACUGGGCGUAAAGGGCGCGUAGGCGGUAGCACAAGUCAGUUGUGAAAUCUCCGAGCUUAACUCGGAAAGGUCAACUGAUACUGUGCGACUAGAGUGCAGAAGGGGCAACUGGAAUUCUUGGUGUAGCGGUGAAAUGCGUAGAUAUCAAGAGGAACACCUGCGGCGAAGGCGGGUUGCUGGGCUGAAUGACGCUGAAGCGCGAAAGCCAGGGGAGCGAACGGGAUUAGAUACCCUUGUAGUC
rnacentral:rRNA from 1 species